rnacentral:rRNA from 1 species
UCCGGCAGCUAGCUCUCUGCAACUCUCACAUAGUCUCCCACUGAAGCUAAGCAGGGCUGCGCCCGGUCAGUACCUGGAUGGGAGACCACAUGAGAAAGCUAGGUUGCUGCUGGAA